rnacentral:rRNA from 1 species
UUUAUGAAGAGUUUGAUCCUGGCUCAGGAUGAACGCUGGCGGCGUGCCUAACACAUGCAAGUCGAACGUGAAAGUCCUCUUCGGAGGACAAGUAAAGUGGCGGACGGGUGAGUAACACGUUGGUGACCUGCCCCGAGGUGGGGGAUAACCAUGGGAAACCAUGGCUAAUACCUCAAAUGUUUAAGUAUUUAGACAGCUUAAACUAAAGUUCCGGCGCCUCGGGAGGGGCCUGCGGGCUAUCAGCUUGUUGGUGGGGUAAUGGCCUACCAAGGCUAAGACGGCUAGGGGGCGUGAGAGCGCGACCCCCCACAAUGGAACUGAGACACGGUCC